UUUUUUUUUGACUGAAUUUUAUGGUAUAUUAGUUGUUGAGUUACGUUUGAAUAUGUAUGUCUGUAGGGUAACUGAUACUAAGAUCGGUUGGUAUGUGAAAGUUGACAUGUUCCCACGAAUAAUAAAUAAAACUUGCGAUUAGUCUGAAUUUUAAGGAUCAUCUUUGGUAAAACAAAUAAUAGUACUGAUUAAUGUAGAACAGGAGUUGAAUAGUAAUAUAAAGCAGGAAAUCUUAUGUAAACCGAAUUAUUAAAGGUAAUAGAAAAACCAUGGGUGGAAGUUAAAGGUGGGAGACGUGCGUGCGUUUA
rnacentral:lncRNA from 1 species